UACAGAGGGGGCAAGCGUUGUUCGGAAUUACUGGGCGUAAAGGGCGCGUAGGCGGCCUGUUAAGUCGAACGUGAAAUCCCCGGGCUCAACCCGGGAACUGCGUCCGAUACUGGCAGGCUUGAAUUCGGGAGAGGGAUGCGGAAUUCCAGGUGUAGCGGUGAAAUGCGUAGAUAUCUGGAGGAAUACCGGUGGCGAAGGCGGCAUCCUGGACCAUUACUGACGCUGAGGCGCGAAAGCUAGGGGAGCAAACGGG
rnacentral:rRNA from 1 species